rnacentral:rRNA from 1 species
UAAGAGGUCCAGCCUGCCCAGUGAUUAACGGCCGCGGUAUCCUAACCGUGCGAAGGUAGCAUAAUCACUUGUUCUUUAAUUAAGGACUCGUAUCAACGGCAUCACGAGGGUUGUACUGUCUCCUUUCUCCAAUCAGUGAAACUGUGAAAAAGCGGGGAUACACCAAUAAGACGAGAAGACCCCAUGGAGCUUUAAAAGUUUUUGGUUGGGGCGACCGCGGAGUAAAAACCACCCUCCUAUCUAAGAGCCACCGCUCGAAUUAGAACACUAAUGACCCGAUCAACGAAUCAAGUUACCCUGGGGAUAACAGCGCCAUCUACUUCAAGAGUACAUAUCGACAAGUGGGCUUACGACCUCGAUGUUGGAUCAGGUAACCAAGUGGCGCCUAGUUGU